rnacentral:lncRNA from 1 species
CCUUGUUCACCAAGUCCUCUCCUCCUCUGGCAUUCCCAUUCGAUGAAACAACUCCAAAGAGAAAGAGUUUUCUGCCCUCGCCAGCUCGGCAGGGAAUCGGCUAAAACGAGGCGUCGCGGAGGGGCGAAGCGGCGGUCUGUGUGACUGUUGCCCGAGCGGCUGUGCGAGAUACCAAAGCAGCGAGUGAAGUCCUCCGUCCUCCGUCAGACGUAAGGGCACGUGUACAUUUAACCGGUCCAGGAGGGCAUCCGUUACAAAGCUCCGCAUUCGGACAGUAGGACUGGAUGCCAUAAAGGGACGUGUGACUUGUGAAUUAAGAGACCUGGUAACUUGUAGAAUGAUGGUUUAAAAUGACUUUAUUUUAUGGCUAGUUUCAGCCAGCUGAGUGAUGUUGCAUGUAUUGGUUGUAUUUAUAACUUAAUAGCUUUUCUCAAUUUUAUUAUACUUUUUAUGAUACUUGUGGCUUUAUGGUACUUCAUAAUUUUUCUCAGAUUCAUUAAAUCCAGCUGAGGGUGGAGCCGAUGAUGAGAGCAGGCAGCGCAUUCCCAGCGUCGCCCUGUAGUCCGUAACCUGCUCCAAGAUGCAAAGUGCAGGAGCGGAGCAGAGGGACCAGCGAAACGGGCUCAGUCUGCUCCUCUGGGGGAGACGUGGUGACACCCGUAGGCGAGGAAAAUCAACUCUCAUGCAGUUAAGUCUACUAGAAAUCACCCUGGAAAUCAGCAUCUCGUUCAGCGGCCUUUGGUACAAAGGCAACAAAACUGAAAGGCUGCCUGACUCCAGUCCCAUUUUGGCUGUUUUUUUGUCACAAGGUAACUCUACCGACUUCUGUGGAAUUUCUCCUGAUUUAUACCUCAGUAAGUGAGAGAGGAAUCA